rnacentral:lncRNA from 1 species
CACCCAAAAAUUUACAACUUUUGAAAUAGGAGAAAAAUGAUUUAAUUUUGUAUUUUGUGCUCAUGAAAAUAUAGGAAAAAUAAUAUUCAAUUAAAAUUAAUCAUAGAGUGUAGCAACAUUUUGUGCACUCAUGCUUAUGCAUUUUGAUUUAUUGUGAUGAGUGGUUUUACUAAAGUUUAAAAGUAUUUCAAAGUGAUUUUUAAAAUGGAUUUGAAAAUGGAUUUAGAAUAAAGGAAAAGAAAAAAAAAGAGAAAACCUCUUUGGGAUACAUGUUUGUUCUCUUGCAAGCUCUUUGGGAUGUCAUAAGUUCUCAAUGUUAGUUAACUUGUGUGGAAAACAUGCUAGCUACCUUUUUUGUGUCCCCUAGAUGACCUUUAUUAAGGGGGGUAUCCUAAAUAAAGGGGUUACAUGGAGAAGAAUUGGAUAAUGUUGGAACAAGAGACUCGGUACCACGAAUGUAAAAGACUAUGAUGUGUGGCGUCCAAAAAGGAUAGGAGAACUAGUCCCUAGUGUCCCCCAAUCAAUCUAAUUUUAAGGGGGGUAGUACCUUGAUAUCACGAGUGAUGCAUUUUAAGACUAGCUUGGAGUGAUAAUUGUCUUCUAAGAUAUUCUAUAGUUAUGAUCAUCUAUCCUUGCCGUGUUACUGACGUUGUCACUUGAUGACAGGGAGUGUAGUGUCCCAUGAAUCCGGAGCACAAUAUGACACCUCUCAUGGAUAGGUGGGAAGAAUAUGAUCAUCUUGAUUUUGAAGAAAGAUGCUAUGAGUAUGACAAAGCUGAGUGUUAUCAAAAUAAUAAUAUGGAAGAGCAAGUUGACAACGAAUCAAAUCAAAAUCCACAACGACGGAAGCGUAAAAGGAAAGCUCGUAAGAAGCCCGCUCCUGGAAAUAAAGUACAGCCAAAUUAUAUCAAUGGAAGACUGAACAAUGUGGAUAGGCAUAACAUUCAAGGAGCCACCAAAGUGGUGGGAGGCUAUAUUCAAGUGGACUCAGUACUAGUUUUUGCUCUGUUUGACCGAAGUGCUUCGCAUUCUUUUAUUUCCGCUGACUUGGUAAAGACAAUCGAACGGGUGAAGUGUCCGACGAGAAAGCCUUUGUUAGUUCAAACCCCAAUGGGAGAAAUACAGGCAGAUCAGGUUUGCUCAAAUAUCAAUCUUGUCAUAAAGAAGGAAAACUUCACUGUAAACCUCAUUGUGCUAGAGUCACUCAAUAUUCCUUUGGUUCUUGGCAAUGGAUGGUUAUGUGCACACAAGGCAGUAAUCUAUGCUACCCAGUGGAAAAUAUUCUUAACUGCACCAUCAGGGAAAAGAAUUGAGUAUCAAGGUGGUCCACUCCUACCUGAGGAGGCAUAUCCAUGCCGAGAUAUCAUGUCUUCGAGUUGUAUAAGUUGAAAAGUUGGUAGUCAAGAUGGACAGUGAGCAAUUACGAAUAAUAGACAUCUUAUGGAAGUUUUGUUCACAAGUUGUAAUCCCGAAACAUAAGUGCUUGCAUCUGGGAUACAAGUUGUCAAGUUGAAAUAAUGAUCAAGAUCUUUUCCUGUUUCUCUUUUGGAAUCUGUGUCUCUUUCGAAUCUCGAGGACGAGAUUCAUUUUAAGGGGGGUAGAUUUGUAACACCCAAAAAUCUACAACUUUUGAAAUAGGAGGAAAAUGAUUUAAUUUUGUAUUUUGUGCUCAUGAAAAUAUAGGAAAAAUAAUAUUCAAUUAAAAUUAAUCAUAGAGUGUAGCAACAUUUUGUGCACUCAUGCUUAUGCAUUUUGAUUUAUUGUGCUGAGUGGUUUUACUAAAGUUUAAAAGUAUUUCAAAGUGAUUUUUAAAAUGGAUUUGAAAAUGGAUUUAGAAUAAAGGAAAAGAAAAAAAGAGAAAACCUCCCCAUCUCUCUGUUUCGGCCUGAAAGGCCCAGCAGUCCGCGCCCCGGCCCACUUCCUCCCACUCGGCCCAGCAGCGCGCGCCUCCCCCUCUCUUCUCUGGCUGACAGAUCGGCCCCGCGCGUCAGCCAGCCGGGUCCAACUUCUCCCUUUUCCCUCUCUCGCUGCCACCUUGGGCCCACCUGUCACCCUUCUCCUUCCUCCCAACCGUGACCGAGCCGGCCUCGAUCUUCCACAUUAGGAAAUCCCGAUUCCUUCGGGAUUUGAUCGCCCC